AAAGGAAUAGACGGGGGCUCACACAAGCGGUGGAGGAUGUUGCUCAAUUCGAAGCAACGCGAAGAACCUUACCUGGGUUUGACAUGCAGGAAUUAACCCCAUGAAAGUGGGGGGAUUGCCUUCGGGUGUAACCUGUACAGGUGUUGCAUGGCUGUCGUCAGCUCGUGCCUUGAGGUGUUGGGUUAAGUCCCCUAACGAGCGAAACCCCUGUCGUUAGUUGCCAUCGGGUCAUGCCGGGCACUCUAGCGAGACUGCCGGUGUCAAACCGGAGGAAGGUGGGGACGACGUCAAGUCAUCAUGGCCCUUAUAUCCAGGGCGGCAAACGUCCUACAAUGGCCCGUACAAAGGGAAGCAAAGCCGCGAGGCGGAGCAAAUCCCAAAAAGCGGGCCCUAGUUCGGAUUGCAGGCUGCAAUUCGCCUGCAUGAAGCUGGAAUCGCUAGUAAUCGCGGAUCAGAACGCCGCGGUGAAUAUGUUCCUGAGCCUUGUACACACCGCCCGU
rnacentral:rRNA from 1 species